AGGUGCCACAAGUCCUCCUUUUCUUUUAGUCUUGCUGUGGAGCCCCCAAGUGGCCCUGGGUGCAGCAUGCAAUGGUUAAUCAUUGAAAUACAAACACCCUUAGUUCUAGUCUGAUUUUUAUUCAGCUUCCAGACACUGGAGCUUGUUCUGCCUUUGUCUCGCGUAAAGCUCCCUCUCCCGUCAAAUCUUUCUGCCAUGUAGGAACUCGGACUGUGAUCUAUUCACCUCUUAACUUUCGCUGGUAAACUAAACAAUUGAUCCUCUGGCUCUCACCAGGCAGGGAAUCGUGCUACUGGCUCUCUUUGGAACCUUUCCAAGUGUUCUCAGCAUCCUUUUGGAAGUGUGGCCCCCAGAAUUGGACACAGCAUCUAGUAGCAGUCUCACUAUGGCUGUCUGCAGAGGUGACACCGCCUGCCUCGUCCUGCUGAUAGUUACCAGUUAGAGAAUAUUUCAAUAAGUUUGAUGGAUUUGAGUUAGCAGGGCCUGAGGAAAUUCAUCCUAGAGCACAAAGGAACUAGUGGACGCCAUCUCAGAAACAUUAGCAAUUAAUUAUCUUGGAGAACUUGGGGGAGGGUUGAGGUCCCAGAGGACUGGAGAAGGGCACACAGGUAAAAAAGGGGAACAAAGGGGACCCAGGAAAUUAUAGACCAGUCAGCCUAACUUCAAUACCUGGAAAGAUACUGGAACAAACUAUUACACAAUCCAUUUGUGAGCACCUAGAGGAUAAGAGGUUAUAAGGAACAGCCCGUGUGAAUUUGUCAAGAACCAACCUCAUCUUCUUUAACAGGGUCACUGGCCUAGCAGAUGGGGGGAAGCCGCAGAUGAGAUAUCUUGAUUUUAGCAAGGCUUGUGACACAGUCCCACAUGACAUUCUCAUAAGCAAACUGGGGAAGUUCGGGCUAGAUGGAAUUACUAGAAGAUGGGUGCACAACUGGCUGAACAGUCGUCCUCAAUGAGGAGUUAUCAGCAGCUCGCUGUCAAACUGGGAGAGCGGAGCUAGUGCAGGCAUCAGUCCUGAGGCUAGUCCUAGUCGCUAUUUUUGUCCAUGACUUGGGUAAUGGAGUGGAGAGGGUGCUUAUAAAAUCCACAGCUGACACUAAGCUAGGAGGGGUUGCAAGCAUUUAGGAGGGCUGGAUUAGAGUUCAAAAUGACCUUGACAAACUAAAGAAUUGGUCUAAAAUCAAUAAGAUUAAAUUAAAUAAAGACAAGUGCAAAGUACUACAUUUAGGAAGGAAAAAUCAAAUGUCCAGCUACAGAAUGGGGAAUAACUGGCCAAGUGAUAGCUCUGCUGAAAAGGCUCUGGGGUUACAGUGGAUCACAAAUUGAACAUGAGUGAAUCAUAUGAUGCAGCUGCAAAAAAAAGACUAAUCACCCUGGUGGUGCAUUAACAACAGGAAUGUCCUGUGUAAGCCAGGGGAGGUCAGUGUCCCGCUCUACUCAGCACUGGGGAGGCCCUGGCUGGAGUGUCCAGUUCUGGGUACAGCACAUUAGGAAAGAUGUGGACCAAUAGGAGGGAGUCCAGAAGAGAGCAACAAAAAAUAUCAAAGGUUUAGAAACCCGGACCUAUGAGGACAGGUUAAAACACCAGGUGUGUUUAGUCUUGACAAAAGAAACUGACCAAGGGAUGGGUACCUGAUAAGUUUCCAGUUAUGUGAAGGGCUGUUCGAAAGAGGAUUGUGAUCAAUUGCUCCCCGUGUCACUGAAGGCAGGACAAGAAGCAAUGGGCUUUGUCUGCAGCGAGGGAGAUUGAGGUUAGAUAUUAGGAAAACUUCUUAACUCUCAGGAUGGUUAAUCUGUGGCACAGGCGUCUGGAGAGGUUGUGGAAUCCCCAUCAUUGGAGGGUUUUAAGACCAGGUUGGACAAACACCUGCCAAGGAGUGUCCAGCUUUUCUUAGUCCUGCUUCAGCGUAGGGGGCUGGGCUCGGUGACAUGUCGAGGUGGUUCCAGCCCUUCAUUUCUGUAACGUGGCGAUUCCUUGCUCAUAUAGCCAAGGAUCACGUUCGCCCUCCUAGUGAAGCACCGUGCUGGGUGCUCCCAUUCAGCAGGCUUGUCAUGAGCCCAAGUCCUGGUCUGUGUUGCUGCUUUCCAAGGUGCUGUCCCCCAGCCUGGGAGUGCGGCUGGUCCUCCGGGUUCCUGCGUGUAGGUGGGUUAAAGGCAUGGGGCUGAGCCCACUUUACAGUGUGAUGCGAAUCACUCUGCAGAACUGACCUGUCAGCAGUUAUCAUGCCAUCAAUUUUUGUCCUCUACAAAAUUAGAGCAACCGCUUUAUCUUCAGCCCGAUGAUACUGACAGCCUUUGGCCAAAACCAGACCCCUGCCGGACCCCUCUAGAAACAAGAUGUAUGUAAAGGGCAGGCCACCUCCCCACUGUCCUCUUAUGGCCAGGGAUGGCUCUGCAGCACCCAGCCUCAGUUUCCCCUUCGCAGGUUCCCAGGAAUGCUCUGUGGAGGCUUACAUGCAAUACCAACCCCCUUCCUUGGGGACUGGUUCAUUAACAUAAAGCAAACCCAAAGGUAAGUCUCUGCUCCACCAGCCUCCCAUGGGGUGCAGCACCUCCUCCCUGAGCUCUGGCUAGCUCCCAGCCUCUCCACUCGGCCCAAUUUUUAGCCCUUCCCAGGUUCUGCUCAGUCUGUCCCUGUGACAGGGGGUUGCACAGGCCUCCUUGCUGGCCUGUGUUUCAGCUUCCCCAGCUGCGUCCUUCAGGUACCUUAUUCAGCAGCUCUCUGUCAUUCUUCCCCUUCCCUCCUUGGGCUGAGAAGUCCAGACAGCAUCCCUCCCCCGCUGCUGGCUCCCCUUUAGGGCCCAGGGGCUUCCUGUCAACCCAGUUGGGCACCAAGUAAUCAGUCAUGGGUGCGCCAGCCCUGCUCCCUCUUAAAGGGGCCAGUCACCCCGUGACAGCCUCUGGGGACGAAAAUACCCCAUUGAUAAUUGUUUUUGGAGUCUGUCAGCCGGUUUCUAGUCCAUUUAAUCUGUGCUUCAUUAAGAACUAGCACUAUACAAAUGCAAUCAAUUAAUAAUGUAAUCGAGGACUGGGUGGGGCUACAGUUAAAUGCCUUACAGAAAUCUAAUUGUCCUUUCAAGUUACCUUUACUAACUAUGGUUGUAAUCUCAAAACAAUACCAAAUUUGUUUGACGAGACCUGUUUUCUGUGAAACUACAUGGAUUGACAUUAAUUAUGCUGCUCUCCUCUUUAUUCUUUACUGAUUGCAUCCUGUAGCAGCUUUUCUAUGAUAUUGCCCAGGAUUAACAUCAGACUAAUUGGCCUAUAGUUACCUGGCUCAUCUCACUUAAGCUAAAAGGGGGGCACCAUCGGCGGCUCGGCACAGCGAUGGAAAGAAGCUGGGCUGGGCGCUCUUGGUUUGGACGGGGCUACCCAGCCUGGCCUGCGGCUCUGCAGAUCCCUGUGGCGGACGAGCCCCUCCAGAGUGCCCAC